UACGUAGGGUGCGAGCGUUGUCCGGAAUUGUUGGGCGUGAAGAGCUCGUAGGCGGCCUGUCGCGUCGGAUGUGAAAACUCGGGGCUUAACCCCGAGCCUGCAUUCGAUAUGGGCAGGCUAGAGUUCGGCAGGGGAGACUGGAAUUCCUGGUGUAGCGGUGAAAUGCGCAGAUAUCAGGAGGAACACCAAUGGCGAAGGCAGCACUCUGGGACGUGACUGACGCUGAGACGCGAAAGCGUGGGGAGCAAACAGG
rnacentral:rRNA from 1 species